rnacentral:rRNA from 1 species
UACGUAGGGUCCGAGCGUUAAUCGGAAUUACUGGGCGUAAAGCGUGCGCAGGCGGUUCGCAAAGACAGGUGUGAAAGCCCCGGGCUCAACCUGGGAACAGCGCUUGAGACUGGCACGCUCGAGUUCGGGAGAGGAUGGUGGAAUUCCCAGUGUAGAGGUGAAAUUCGUAGAUAUUGGGAAGAACACCGAUGGCGAAGGCAGCCAUCUGGACCGACACUGACGCUGAGGCGCGAAAGCGUGGGGAGCAAACAGG